rnacentral:rRNA from 1 species
CCUACGGGUGGCAGCAGUGAGGAAUAUUGGUCAAUGGGCGGGAGCCUGAACCAGCCAAGUCGCGUGAGGGAAGAAGGUACUGAGUAUUGUAAACCUCUUUUGCCAGGGGACAAAGGCGUCCACGGGUGGCCGUAAGAGGGUACCUGGAGAAAAAGCAUCGGCUAACUCCGUGCCAGCAGCCGCGGUAAUACGGAGGAUGCGAGCGUUAUCCGGAUUUAUUGGGUUUAAAGGGUGCGUAGGCGGCCUUUUAAGUCAGCGGUGAAAGUUUGUGGCUCAACCAUAGAAUUGCCGUUGAAACUGGGAGGCUUGAGUAUGUUAGAGGCAGGCGGAAUGCGUGGUGUAGCGGUGAAAUGCUUAGAUAUCACGCAGAACCCCGAUUGCGAAGGCAGCCUGCCAAGCCAUGACUGACGCUGAUGCACGAAAGCGUGGGGAUCAAACAGGAUUAGAUACCCUUGUAGUC